UACGCCAUUUUGUUGGAAAAGCACAGUGGAGAAGGCUGCACGUUAUAUCCACCUCCAUCCUCUUUGAUUACACCCUUGAGAAGGCAUAAUCUUUUCACACCACUUCCAUUAAAAAAACCAUCAAGUCAGCUCCUGUCUUGGCCACUUUUUUGGGAGAGUGUUUAACAUGCUGCAUAGACAUACGUAAACAUGUGGUGAGUCCAGAAGAAGACUACUGAAAUCGAGGACCCUGUUAAUGGAGCAGCCCACCAUUCAUCCAGGAGAGAACCAUGUCCGCAGAAAUGGAGGUGCUGCCUGAGCCUGACGGGACCCAGUGCUGGUAUAGAAACAACUAACAAGAUUAAGAGGUGAGUGCUACAUAACUCUU